AGGGUGGUACCGAGGUUACACCCUGAGGAAGAAGUCCAAGAAGGGUAUAUUUCCUGCUUCAUAUAUUCAUCUCAAAGAAGCCAUAGUUGAAGGAAAAGGAGUGACCCCGUCCCGUGGAGGCUCCGCCCUCAGCACUGGGGCCGUUCUUCUGGAAUCCUUCACAUGCCAGGAGGCAAAGGGAGCGGAGGGGAAAGCAACAGUUGGUAAAUCGGGACAUGCGUGAUUUUACAUUUUGUCUAAUUG